rnacentral:rRNA from 1 species
CCUACGGGUGGCAGCAGUGGGGAAUAUUGGACAAUGGGGGAAACCCUUAUCCAGCGACGCCGCGUGAGGGAAGAAGGUUUUCGGAUUGUAAACCUCUGUCAGUGGGGACGAUAAUGACGGUACCCACGGAGGAAGCCACGGCUAACUACGUGCCAGCAGCCGCGGUAAUACGUAGGUGGCAAGCGUUGUCCGGAAUUACUGGGUGUAAAGGGAGCGCAGGCGGCGUGUCAAGCAAGCGGUAAAAUAGCGGGGCUCAACCCCGUCGAGCCGUUUGAACUGGCGCGCUUGAGUUCAGGCGAGGUAGGCGGAAUUCGUGGUGUAGCGGUGAAAUGCAUAGAUAUCACGAAGAACUCCGAUUGCGAAGGCAGCUUACCGGUCUGCGACUGACGCUCAGGCACGAAAGUGUGGGUAUCGAACAGGAUUAGAUACCCGAGUAGUC